UAUUGAAACACCGGUUCUCGUACGAUCACCGAAAUUAAGCAAUCUCGGCCCUGGUCAGUAUCUAGCGGGGUGACCACUUGAGAAUACCAGGUGUUGUAAG